UAGGGAAUCUUCCGCAAUGGACGCAAGUCUGACGGAGCAACGCCGCGUGAGUGAAGAAGGUUUUCGGAUCGUAAAACUCUGUUGUAAGAGAAGAACAAAUUGUAGAGUAACUGCUACAGUCUUGACGGUAUCUUACCAGAAAGCCACGGCUAACUACGUGCCAGCAGCCGCGGUAAUACGUAGGUGGCAAGCGUUGUCCGGAUUUAUUGGGCGUAAAGGGGGCGCAGGCUGCUUCUUAAGUCUGAUGUGAAAGCCCACGGCUUAACCGUGGAAGUGCAUUGGAAACUGGGAAGCUUGAGUACAGAAGAGGAAAGUGGAACUCCAUGUGUGUCGGUGGAAUGCGUGGAUAUAUGGAAGAACACCAGUGGCGAAAGCGACUUUCUGGUCUGUCACUGACGCUGAGGCCCGAAAGCGUGGGUAGCAAACAGG
rnacentral:rRNA from 1 species